AGGGAAACACUCUGAAGCCCCUGGACAACGCCUGCAUGUUCUCCACCUGCGCCAACCUGCAGGACGGAGGACAAAAGUGCAUCCCCUCUGACGAGUUUGAGUGUGAAGAGGCGCUGCUCGCUCAGGAGUCGAUGGACUCUCAGGAUUCUGCAGGAGCGAAGAUCAGCAGCCGGACCUCAACUCCUCCUCUUCCUCACCUCCUCCUCUUCCUCUUCCUCUCUGUGACUGUGUGUGUGUCCCUGCUCCUCGUCUCGUAAACUUACACAUGCAUACUGUUCACACACACACACACACACAACACACA